GUAGACAUAGUUUAAGAAAAACCCUAGAUUGUGAUUCUAGCAACAGAGGUUAAAAUCCUCUUGUUCACC
rnacentral:tRNA from 1 species